rnacentral:rRNA from 1 species
CACGUAGGGGGCAAGCGUUGUCCGGAUUUAUUGGGCGUAAAGAGCUCGUAGGCGGCUCAGUAAGUCGGGUGUGAAACCUCCAGGCUCAACCUGGAGACGCCACCCGAUACUGCUGUGGCUUGAGUCCGGUAGGGGAGCGUGGAAUUCCUGGUGUAGCGGUGAAAUGCGCAGAUAUCAGGAGGAACACCAGCGGCGAAGGCAGCUCGCUGGGACGGUACUGACGCUGAGACGCGAAAGCGUGGGGAGCAAACAGG